GGGUUGUGAGGUUAAGCGACUAAGCGUACACGGUGGAUGCCCUGGCAGUCAGAGGCGAUGAAGGACGUGCUAAUCUGCGAUAAGCGUCGGUAAGGUGAUAUGAACCGUUAUAACCGGCGAUUUCCGAAUGGGGAAACCCAGUGUGAUUCGUCACACUAUCAUUACGUGAAUACAUAGCGUAAUGAAGCGAACCGGGGGAACUGAAACAUCUAAGUACCCCGAGGAAAAGAAAUCAACCGAGAUUCCCCCAGUAGCGGCGAGCGAACGGGGAGCAGCCCAGAGUCUGAAUCAGCUUGUGUGUUAGUGGAACGGUCUGGAAAGUCCGACGGUACAGGGUGAUAGUCCCGUACACCAAAAUGCACAGGUUGUGAACUCGAAGAGUAGGGCGGGACACGUGGUAUCCUGUCUGAAUAUGGGGGGACCAUCCUCCAAGGCUAAAUACUCCUGACUGACCGAUAGUGAACCAGUACCGUGAGGGAAAGGCGAAAAGAACCCCGGCGAGGGGAGUGAAAAAGAACCUGAAACCGUGUACGUACAAGCAGUGGGAGCAUCCUUUUGGGUGUGACUGCGUACCUUUUGUAUAAUGGGUCAGCGACUUAUAUUCUGUAGCAAGGUUAACCGUAUAGGGGAGCCGAAGGGAAACCGAGUCUUAACUGGGCGUUAAGUUGCAGGGUAUAGACCCGAAACCCGGUGAUCUAGCCAUGGGCAGGUUGAAGGUUGGGUAACACUAACUGGAGGACCGAACCGACUAAUGUUGAAAAAUUAGCGGAUGACUUGUGGCUGGGGGUGAAAGGCCAAUCAAACCGGGAGAUAGCUGGUUCUCCCCGAAAGCUAUUUAGGUAGCGCCUCGUGAACUCAUCUUCGGGGGUAGAGCACUGUUUCGGCUAGGGGGUCAUCCCGACUUACCAACCCGAUGCAAACUGCGAAUACCGAAGAAUGUUAUCACGGGAGACACACGGCGGGUGCUAACGUCCGUCGUGAAGAGGGAAACAACCCAGACCGCCAGCUAAGGUCCCAAAGUCAUGGUUAAGUGGGAAACGAUGUGGGAAGGCACAGACAGCCAGGAUGUUGGCUUAGAAGCAGCCAUCAUUUAAAGAAAGCGUAAUAGCUCACUGGUCGAGUCGGCCUGCGCGGAAGAUGUAACGGGGCUAAACCAUGCACCGAAGCUGCGGCAGCGACACUAUGUGUUGUUGGGUAGGGGAGCGUUCUGUAAGCCGUUGAAGGUGUAUCGUGAGGUAUGCUGGAGGUAUCAGAAGUGCGAAUGCUGACAUAAGUAACGAUAAUGCGGGUGAAAAACCCGCACGCCGGAAGACCAAGGGUUCCUGUCCAACGUUAAUCGGGGCAGGGUGAGUCGACCCCUAAGGCGAGGCCGAAAGGCGUAGUCGAUGGGAAACAGGUUAAUAUUCCUGUACUUGGUGUUACUGCGAAGGGGGGACGGAGAAGGCUAUGUUAGCCGGGCGACGGUUGUCCCGGUUUAAGCAUGUAGGCGGAGGUUCCAGGUAAAUCCGGUACCUUUUUAACGCUGAGGUGUGAUGACGAGGCACUACGGUGCUGAAGUAACAAAUGCCCUGCUUCCAGGAAAAGCCUCUAAGCAUCAGGUAACACGAAAUCGUACCCCAAACCGACACAGGUGGUCAGGUAGAGAAUACCAAGGCGCUUGAGAGAACUCGGGUGAAGGAACUAGGCAAAAUGGUGCCGUAACUUCGGGAGAAGGCACGCUGAUAUGUAGGUGAAGUGAUUUACUCAUGGAGCUGAAAUCAGUCGAAGAUACCAGCUGGCUGCAACUGUUUAUUAAAAACACAGCACUGUGCAAACACGAAAGUGGACGUAUACGGUGUGACGCCUGCCCGGUGCCGGAAGGUUAAUUGAUGGGGUUAUCCGUAAGGAGAAGCUCUUGAUCGAAGCCCCGGUAAACGGCGGCCGUAACUAUAACGGUCCUAAGGUAGCGAAAUUCCUUGUCGGGUAAGUUCCGACCUGCACGAAUGGCGUAAUGAUGGCCAGGCUGUCUCCACCCGAGACUCAGUGAAAUUGAACUCGCUGUGAAGAUGCAGUGUACCCGCGGCAAGACGGAAAGACCCCGUGAACCUUUACUAUAGCUUGACACUGAACACUGGUCCUUGAUGUGUAGGAUAGGUGGGAGGCUUUGAAGUGUGGACGCCAGUCUGCAUGGAGCCAUCCUUGAAAUACCACCCUUUAAUGGCUGGUGUUCUAACGUGGACCCGUUACCCGGGUUGCGGACAGUGUCUGGUGGGUAGUUUGACUGGGGCGGUCUCCUCCUAAAGAGUAACGGAGGAGCACGAAGGUUAGCUAAUCCUGGUCGGACAUCAGGAGGUUAGUGCAAAGGCAUAAGCUAGCUUGACUGCGAGAGUGACGGCUCGAGCAGGUGCGAAAGCAGGUCUUAGUGAUCCGGUGGUUCUGAAUGGAAGGGCCAUCGCUCAACGGAUAAAAGGUACUCCGGGGAUAACAGGCUGAUACCGCCCAAGAGUUCAUAUCGACGGCGGUGUUUGGCACCUCGAUGUCGGCUCAUCACAUCCUGGGGCUGAAGUAGGUCCCAAGGGUAUGGCUGUUCGCCAUUUAAAGUGGUACGCGAGCUGGGUUUAGAACGUCGUGAGACAGUUCGGUCCCUAUCUGCCGUGGGCGCUGGAGAAUUGAGGGGGGCUGCUCCUAGUACGAGAGGACCGGAGUGGACGCAUCACUGGUGUUCGGGUUGUCAUGCCAAUGGCAUUGCCCGGUAGCUAAAUGCGGAAGAGAUAAGUGCUGAAAGCAUCUAAGCACGAAACUUGCCCCGAGAUGAGUUCUCCCUGAGACUAUAAGUCUCCUGAAGGAACGUUAAAGACGAUGACGUUGAUAGGUCGGGUGUGUAAGUGUAGCGAUACAUUGAGCUAACCGAUACUAAUGAACCGUGAGGCUUAACCUUACAACGCCGAAG
rnacentral:rRNA from 1 species